rnacentral:snRNA from 1 species
AUUGCUUCUCGGUCUUUUGGCUAAGAUCAAGUGUAGUAUUCAUACUAGUUUCUCUAUAAAUAUUUUAGAAGGAGAAAGACACAGUAGAAGAAUUGGUAGAGUUUUCAGUAUUCUUUUGAUAAAGGUCAAGAAUGAAUCUCU